rnacentral:tRNA from 1 species
AGAGUAAUAAUUUAAUUCAAAAUAUUAACUUUGCAUGUUAAAAUUAUAAACCUUAUUUACUUUG